rnacentral:rRNA from 1 species
GACGAACGCUGGCGGCGUGCUUAACACAUGCAAGUCGAACGAAGAGCGAUGGAAGCUUGCUUCUAUCAAUCUUAGUGGCGAACGGGUGAGUAACGCGUAAUCAACCUGCCCUUCAGAGGGGGACAACAGUUGGAAACGACUGCUAAUACCGCAUACGAUCUAAUCUCGGCAUCGAGGAUAGAUGAAAGGUGGCCUCUACAUGUAAGCUAUCACUGAAGGAGGGGAUUGCGUCUGAUUAGCUAGUUGGAGGGGUAACGGCCCACCAAGGCGAUGAUCAGUAGCCGGUCUGAGAGGAUGAACGGCCACAUUGGGACUGAGACACGGCCCAGACUCCUACGGGAGGCAGCAGUGGGGAAUCUUCCGCAAUGGACGAAAGUCUGACGGAGCAACGCCGCGUGAGUGAUGACGGCCUUCGGGUUGUAAAGCUCUGUUAAUCGGGACGAAAGGCCUUCUUGCGAAUAGUGAGAAGGAUUGACGGUACCGGAAUAGAAAGCCACGGCUAACUACGUGC